rnacentral:rRNA from 1 species
GACAGAGGCCUCGAGCGUUAGGCGGAAUCACUGGGCUUAAAGCGUGUGUAGGCGGAUCGUUAAGUACCUUGUGAAAUCCCACGGCUCAACCGUGGAACGGCUGGGUAUACUGGCGGUCUUGGGCCAUUCAGGGGCGACUGGAACAAGCGGUGGAGCGGUGAAAUGCGUAGAUAUCGCUUGGAACGCCGAAGGUGAAAGCAGGUCGCUGGGGAUGUGCCGACGCUGAGACACGAAAGCCAGGGGAGCAAACGGG